CCUGACGUCAUAUCCGGAAUGCUGUCGCCUAUAUAAAGCGCUGCCACGGCUCUGAGCAUUCCUUUUCGCCUGCGUCUCUCGGCAGAUUGACACCACUGAAGAUGGCAUGGACCUGCUUAUCAGUGUCUGGUGAUGUCAGGCAUGUGGCUCAAGAAUGGCUGCUUAAACCCAAGAUGGCGGAGUCAGCGCUUGAAGGUCUCGCAGCAAGUUGAGGACUUGAAGCUUCUGUGACUUGUCGUUUACUUGAAGGCACAGGGCUUGGACGUUCCGGCAACCUAACCGUUUGUGAAGUGGAAUGUGUCAUAUGUAGCCUGCCCUGCAACCCAACGGACGUCACUGGAGACCUCCCGGAUGCUGCGAUUUUCAAGGGCCUGCGGAGAAGAUCCUGGUGAAAGGGCACGGUGCUCGGGGCACUGCUUGGCUAAACCUGGUCAGAACAUCUUUUGGGCGCUGAAGCAGCAGUUGCACAAUGAAGUCUUUCCAUUCAGAUCUGAUUCAAUCCAUUGAAUCUCAGGACUUCCUUCAGGGAAUUCUGUCAGUAAUGGCUUUUUUUUUUUUUUUUUUUUUUUAACAAAGAUCCAGGGUCUGCUUAUACAGCUGUGCACCACAAUUCUGAAAGUUACUGAAGUGAGUAUGACGAGUACUGUUCUAUAAGGCCCUGCCAUCUGAUGUGUUCUCUGCAUGCUCGGCCUUCUAUAACUUCCACAAACCUGAAGGUGGCUUCCCCUCACUGAUCCCUAUAGUGAGAGCUGCUGCUGGUAAAUGACUGGGAGCCUUGUUCUGAUGGCUGAGGGUCACUCCCUUGGACACGGGCUUAUGAUGUAAAGGCCCAUUUCUGUGCUUGGAAUGGCUUACAUGUCAUAAUGCAAAACUAUACGUAAAACAGAUUCCAUUGCCUGCACGCUAACAUUUCAAAAGUGAACCUGCUGUUUACAGCGCUCUGUAUACCCUGCGUGUGGAC